rnacentral:rRNA from 1 species
AGUAAGCAUUAUAAUUAAAAAC